rnacentral:rRNA from 1 species
AGAGUUUGAUCCUGGCUCAGAUUGAACGCUGGCGGCAUGCCUUACACAUGCAAGUCGAACGGUAACAGCACUUCGGUGGCUGACGAGUGGCGAACGGGUGAGUAAUACAUCGGAACGUGCCCGAGAGUGGGGGAUAACGCAGCGAAAGCUGUGCUAAUACCGCAUACGAUCUACGGAUGAAAGCAGGGGACCGCAAGGCCUUGCGCUCAUGGAGCGGCCGAUGGCAGAUUAGGUAGUUGGUGGGAUAAAAGCUUACCAAGCCGACGAUCUGUAGCUGGUCUGAGAGGACGACCAGCCACACUGGGACUGAGACACGGCCCAGACUCCUACGGGAGGCAGCAGUGGGGAAUUUUGGACAAUGGGCGAAAGCCUGAUCCAGCCAUGCCGCGUGCAGGAUGAAGGCCUUCGGGUUGUAAACUGCUUUUGUACGGAACGAAAAGGUCUUUUCUAAUAAAGAA